GCAUCUCUGCAUGCCCUGAGAGCUGGUCAGGCUCAGCCCCCAGCAGAGACUCACAGCCCCUUCGCUUGCUGCUGCCUCCUUUCACUGCACCUUACCAUUUCUUGUCCACUCCUCCAGGGAACAGAUCUGCAACUGGGCAACUUCUGGCUCCUCCAUGACCAUGAAAGGCAGCUGUUCUGAACCAAUUCAGGACCUGAGAGCAGCCCCACCAGUGCAACUAGACACCCAGGAAAGAGGACAUCCAGAGCUGCUUCAGAGUGUAGCAACAGUGGUGGGACAAGUGUGCUCGGAGCAAGGGGGCGGAUUGUGAAGAAGGUUAAUGCCAAUGUGUCUUUUACUGAAAUAAAAUUUAAAGAUGUCAACAUUCA